AUUGAACGCUGGCGGCAUGCUUUACACAUGCCAGUCGAACGGCAGCGCGGGCUUUGGCCUGGCGGCGAGUGGCGAACGGGUGAGUAAUACAUCGGAACGUGCCCAGUAGUGGGGGAUAGCUCGGCGAAAGCCGGAUUAAUACCGCAUACGACCUGAGGGUGAAAGCGGGGGAUCUUCGGACCUCGCGCUAUUGGAGCGGCCGAUGGCAGAUUAGCUAGUUGGUGGGGUAAAGGCCUACCAAGGCGACGAUCUGUAGCUGGUCUGAGAGGACGACCAGCCACACUGGGACUGAGACACGGCCCAGACUCCUACGGGAGGCAGCAGUGGGGAAUUUUGGACAAUGGGCGAAAGCCUGAUCCAGCAAUGCCGCGUGUGUGAUGAAGGCCUUCGGGUUGUAAAGCACUUUUGGCGGGAACGAAAAGGACUGUGCCAAUACCACGGUUCGAUGACGGUACCCGCAGAAUAAGCACCGGCUAACUACGUG
rnacentral:rRNA from 1 species